rnacentral:rRNA from 1 species
UGCCUACGGGACGCAGCAGUGAGGAAUAUUGGUCAAUGGUCGGGAGACUGAACCAGCCAAGCCGCGUGAGGGAUGAAGGUACAGAGUAUCGUAAACCUCUUUUGUCAGGGAACAAAGGCGGGGACGCGUCCCCGGAUGAGUGUACCUGCAGAAAAAGCAUCGGCUAACUCCGUGCCAGCAGCCGCGGUAAUACGGUGGAUGCUAGCGUUAUCCGGAUUUAUUGGGUUUAAAGGGUGCGCAGUCGGUCUGUUAAGUCAGCUGUCACAGCCCGG